GACGAACCGUCCAAACGUUAUUCGGAAUCACUGGGCUUACAGAGUUCGUAGGCGGUCUGGAAAGUUGGGUGUGAAAUCCCUCGGCCUAACCGAGGAACUGCGCUUGAAACUACCAGACUCGAGGGAGAUAGAGGAAAGCGGAACUGAUGGUGGAGCGGUGAAAUGCGUUGAUAUCCAGCGGAACUCCGGUGGCGAAGGCGGCUCGCUGGACCCCACCUGACGCUGAGGCGCGAAAGCCAGGGGAGCGAACGGG
rnacentral:rRNA from 1 species